AUGCCAGCAGCCGCGGUAAUACGAAGGGUGCAAGCGUUACUCGGAAUCACUGGGCGUAAAGCGUGCGUAGGCGGUUUCUUAAGUCUGUCGUGAAAGCCCUGGGCUCAACCUGGGAAUGGCGAUGGAUACUGGGAGGCUAGAGUGUGAUAGAGGAUGGUGGAAUUCCCGGUGUAGCGGUGAAAUGCGUAGAGAUCGGGAGGAACACCAGUGGCGAAGGCGGCCAUCUGGAUCAACACUGACGCUGAGGCACGAAAGCGUGGGGAGCAAACAGGAUUAGAAACCCUGGUAGUCC
rnacentral:rRNA from 1 species